GGGCGUGCCUAAUACAUGCAAGUCGAACGCAAUCUUUGACUAAUGAGUGCUUGCACUCAGCGGUCAAAGUGCGAGUGGCGAACGGGUGAGUAACACGUGGGCAAUCUGCCCAAAAGUGGGGGAUAACACUUGGAAACAGGUGCUAAUACCGCAUCAACCGGCUGACCGCAUGGUCGGCCGGGCAAAGACGGCGUCAGCUGUCGCUUUUGGAUGAGCCCGCGGCGUAUUAACUAGUUGGUAAGGUAACGGCUUACCAAGGUGAUGAUACGUAGCCGAACUGAGAGGUUGAUCGGCCACAUUGGGACUGAGACACGGCCCAAACUCCUACGGGAGGCAGCAGUAGGGAAUCUUCCACAAUGGACGCAAGUCUGAUGGAGCAACGCCGCGUGUAUGAAGAAGGUCUUCGGAUCGUAAAAUACUGUUGUCAGAGAAGAACACGUGAUAGAGUAACUGCUAUGGCGCUGACGGUAUCUGACCAGCAAGUCACGGCUAACUACGUGCCAGCAGCCGCGGUAAUACGUAGGUGGCAAGCGUUGUCCGGAUUUAUUGGGCGUAAAGGGAACGCAGGCGGUCUUUUAAGUCUGAUGUGAAAGCCUUCGGCUUAACCGGAGAAGUGCAUUGGAAACUGGAAGACUUGAGUGCAGAAGAGGAGAGUGGAACUCCAUGUGUAGCGGUGAAAUGCGUAGAUAUAUGGAAGAACACCAGUGGCGAAAGCGGCUCUCUGGUCUGUAACUGACGCUGAGGUUCGAAA
rnacentral:rRNA from 1 species